UAUUUUGUUGAAGAGUCAGAACAUCAAGCCAAGCUUCUGCAGUUACUAUCCCAGUUUUAUCUGUGCUUGUCGUCUGAGAUGUCUAGACUGACUGUAGUCCGGUAUGGUAGCAAGAAAAGAUUGUCAUCUCGUUUAUGACCUAUGCAAAAGGGAGAAAAAGUGCCUGAGGAGAUCCCGUGGAAGCCAGUGGGACUACAAAAGCUUCCCAAUGAAUGGACCAAUGCAGAAGAGGUACAGUCCUGAGCAGGUCUCAGAUUUUCACUGAAUCAUUCUUCAGUCUUUUAGACGACAAACUUUUAAGAGAAGGAAAAUGAAAACCUGAAUGCAAUAGUAGAAGAGCUUUGCUCUUUCCAGUGUUGUGAAUGAAUAUUUGGAUAAGCAGAUAUACGUCUCAGCUCUACUCUCACAACACUAAUCCCCUGGUAUUUCUGGAACCUGACUGCUGUCUGUUGGCACAUUCCUUGGAACAUAAAGUUGCAAUUUAUUUUCUUUAUUACAUAAAAUAAAAAUGUUUCCUCAGAAUUUUCCUAGGCAGUUGCUUCUCCAAAUAUACAAAAUGUAUCAGCAACCUCCAUGAUCACCUGCUCAAAAACCAUUGUCAAGAUGUAAGUAGAGCUUAGCAGCUCCUAAGGGGUUAAACUUGCUAUUCUGAGCUGAGCCAAUUUCACUUUGUAUGUUCUGCAGUGCAGUGAAAGUUAAUUCAUUCUAAAGCACAGAGCUUUCCAGCAACAUUGUUAAUAUUAUAAUGUUCCUUUGCUGCACUGCCCUAGCUAGUUUAUUAGAAGAGGAAAAAAUACAGAUGUGCUGACAAGCAGAGUUAUACCUCUACCCACACUGGAAAAAUAUUUAUUAAAAUUACUUUAAAUCAUUCUU